rnacentral:rRNA from 1 species
GGCGAACGCUGGCGGCGUGCUUAACACAUGCAAGUCGAACGGAAAGGCCCUGCUUUUGUGGGGUGCUCGAGUGGCGAACGGGUGAGUAACACGUGAGUAACCUGCCCUUGACUUUGGGAUAACUUCAGGAAACUGGGGCUAAUACCGGAUAGGAGCUCCUGCUGCAUGGUGGGGGUUGGAAAGUUUCGGCGGUUGGGGAUGGACUCGCGGCUUAUCAGCUUGUUGGUGGGGUAGUGGCUUACCAAGGCUUUGACGGGUAGCCGGCCUGAGAGGGUGACCGGCCACAUUGGGACUGGGAUACGGCCCAGACUCCUACGGGAGGCAGCAGUGGGGAAUAUUGCACAAUGGGCGGAAGCCUGAUGCAGCAACGCCGCGUGCGGGAUGACGGCCUUCGGGUUGUAAACCGCUUUCGCCUGUGACGAAGCGUGAGUGACGGUAAUGGGUAAAGAAGCACCGGCUAACUACGU